rnacentral:rRNA from 1 species
UACGUAGGGGGCAAGCGUUGUCCGGAAUUAUUGGGCGUAAAGCGCGCGCAGGCGGUCAUUUAAGUUUGGUGUUUAAGCCCGGGGCUCAACCCCGGAUCGCACUGAAAACUGGAUGACUUGAGUGCGGGAGAGGAAAGUGGAAUUCCACGUGUAGCGGUGAAAUGCGUAGAGAUGUGGAGGAACACCAGUGGCGAAGGCGGCUUUCUGGUCUGUAACUGACGCUGAGGCGCGAAAGCGUGGGGAGCAAAGCAGG